rnacentral:RNase_P_RNA from 1 species
UCGGCGUAGCAGAUGACCGCUCUGGGUUAAACCGGAGAGGAAAGUCCGAGCACCGAACCGUUGGUAACAACGGCUGAAAGCGACAGCGGCUAACGACCGCCAGGAGCAACGUGGAAAUCAUCUGAAGGACGUUCACGCGUCCGACGGAACCACGCCAAGCCUAGGGAAAGUGCCACAGAGACAAUACUAUCCUUGUUAGGACGGGCAAAUUUGGAUGAAGUUCUAGGCACCGACGAGCACGCGACGACUGCUAGCAUCGCUAGCACGAGGAGCGAGCGCAGGAGGCAACGACGAAAUUCGCCAAAUUUGCCCGUCCUCGGGAGAAAGGUGAAAAGUGGCGGGAUGUGGCUAUCUUCUUCGGAAGCAAUGGUUCGCGACCCGUCUCCUCCAUUGGUAACAGUGGAGCGUGGUAAACCCUGUCUGGUGCAAGAGCAAAUCCGUUGAUGGCAACAUCAAAGGAAUGGUCGCUCGCUGGAGCGGUGAAGCGAUUCACCGCCAAGAGAGAUGGUCAUCCAAUCUCGGGUCACACCGGGAGGGACAAAACUCGGCUUACCGCUACGCCAGAAAA